rnacentral:rRNA from 1 species
GGGUUGUGAGGUUAAGCGACUAAGCGUACACGGUGGAUGCCCUGGCAGUCAGAGGCGAUGAAGGACGUGCUAAUCUGCGAUAAGCGUCGGUAAGGUGAUAUGAACCGUUAUAACCGGCGAUUUCCGAAUGGGGAAACCCAGUGUGUUUCGACACACUAUCAUUAACUGAAUCCAUAGGUUAAUGAGGCGAACCGGGGGAACUGAAACAUCUAAGUACCCCGAGGAAAAGAAAUCAACCGAGAUUCCCCCAGUAGCGGCGAGCGAACGGGGAGGAGCCCAGAGCCUGAAUCAGUGUGUGUGUUAGUGGAAGCGUCUGGAAAGGCGCGCGAUACAGGGUGACAGCCCCGUACACAAAAAUGCACAUGCUGUGAGCUCGAUGAGUAGGGCGGGACACGUGGUAUCCUGUCUGAAUAUGGGGGGACCAUCCUCCAAGGCUAAAUACUCCUGACUGACCGAUAGUGAACCAGUACCGUGAGGGAAAGGCGAAAAGAACCCCGGCGAGGGGAGUGAAAAAGAACCUGAAACCGUGUACGUACAAGCAGUGGGAGCACGCUUAGGCGUGUGACUGCGUACCUUUUGUAUAAUGGGUCAGCGACUUAUAUUCUGUAGCAAGGUUAACCGAAUAGGGGAGCCGAAGGGAAACCGAGUCUUAACUGGGCGUUAAGUUGCAGGGUAUAGACCCGAAACCCGGUGAUCUAGCCAUGGGCAGGUUGAAGGUUGGGUAACACUAACUGGAGGACCGAACCGACUAAUGUUGAAAAAUUAGCGGAUGACUUGUGGCUGGGGGUGAAAGGCCAAUCAAACCGGGAGAUAGCUGGUUCUCCCCGAAAGCUAUUUAGGUAGCGCCUCGUGAAUUCAUCUCCGGGGGUAGAGCACUGUUUCGGCAAGGGGGUCAUCCCGACUUACCAACCCGAUGCAAACUGCGAAUACCGGAGAAUGUUAUCACGGGAGACACACGGCGGGUGCUAACGUCCGUCGUGAAGAGGGAAACAACCCAGACCGCCAGCUAAGGUCCCAAAGUCAUGGUUAAGUGGGAAACGAUGUGGGAAGGCCCAGACAGCCAGGAUGUUGGCUUAGAAGCAGCCAUCAUUUAAAGAAAGCGUAAUAGCUCACUGGUCGAGUCGGCCUGCGCGGAAGAUGUAACGGGGCUAAACCAUGCACCGAAGCUGCGGCAGCGACGCUUAUGCGUUGUUGGGUAGGGGAGCGUUCUGUAAGCCUGCGAAGGUGUGCUGUGAGGCAUGCUGGAGGUAUCAGAAGUGCGAAUGCUGACAUAAGUAACGAUAAAGCGGGUGAAAAGCCCGCUCGCCGGAAGACCAAGGGUUCCUGUCCAACGUUAAUCGGGGCAGGGUGAGUCGACCCCUAAGGCGAGGCCGAAAGGCGUAGUCGAUGGGAAACAGGUUAAUAUUCCUGUACUUGGUGUUACUGCGAAGGGGGGACGGAGAAGGCUAUGUUGGCCGGGCGACGGUUGUCCCGGUUUAAGCGUGUAGGCUGGUUUUCCAGGCAAAUCCGGAAAAUCAAGGCUGAGGCGUGAUGACGAGGCACUACGGUGCUGAAGCAACAAAUGCCCUGCUUCCAGGAAAAGCCUCUAAGCAUCAGGUAACAUCAAAUCGUACCCCAAACCGACACAGGUGGUCAGGUAGAGAAUACCAAGGCGCUUGAGAGAACUCGGGUGAAGGAACUAGGCAAAAUGGUGCCGUAACUUCGGGAGAAGGCACGCUGAUAUGUAGGUGAAGNNNNNNNNNNNNNNNNNNNNNNNNNNNNNNNNNNNNNNNNNNNNNNNNNNNNNNNNNNNNNNNNNNNNNNNNNNNNNGCGAAGCUCUUGAUCGAAGCCCCGGUAAACGGCGGCCGUAACUAUAACGGUCCUAAGGUAGCGAAAUUCCUUGUCGGGUAAGUUCCGACCUGCACGAAUGGCGUAAUGAUGGCCAGGCUGUCUCCACCCGAGACUCAGUGAAAUUGAACUCGCUGUGAAGAUGCAGUGUACCCGCGGCAAGACGGAAAGACCCCGUGAACCUUUACUAUAGCUUGACACUGAACAUUGAGCCUUGAUGUGUAGGAUAGGUGGGAGGCUUUGAAGUGUGGACGCCAGUCUGCAUGGAGCCGACCUUGAAAUACCACCCUUUAAUGUUUGAUGUUCUAACGUGGACCCGUAAUCCGGGUUGCGGACAGUGUCUGGUGGGUAGUUUGACUGGGGCGGUCUCCUCCUAAAGAGUAACGGAGGAGCACGAAGGUUGGCUAAUCCUGGUCGGACAUCAGGAGGUUAGUGCAAUGGCAUAAGCCAGCUUGACUGCGAGCGUGACGGCGCGAGCAGGUGCGAAAGCAGGUCAUAGUGAUCCGGUGGUUCUGAAUGGAAGGGCCAUCGCUCAACGGAUAAAAGGUACUCCGGGGAUAACAGGCUGAUACCGCCCAAGAGUUCAUAUCGACGGCGGUGUUUGGCACCUCGAUGUCGGCUCAUCACAUCCUGGGGCUGAAGUAGGUCCCAAGGGUAUGGCUGUUCGCCAUUUAAAGUGGUACGCGAGCUGGGUUUAGAACGUCGUGAGACAGUUCGGUCCCUAUCUGCCGUGGGCGCUGGAGAACUGAGGGGGGCUGCUCCUAGUACGAGAGGACCGGAGUGGACGCAUCACUGGUGUUCGGGUUGUCAUGCCAAUGGCACUGCCCGGUAGCUAAAUGCGGAAGAGAUAAGUGCUGAAAGCAUCUAAGCACGAAACUUGCCCCGAGAUGAGUUCACCCUGACUCCUUGAGAGACCUGAAGGAACGUUGAAGACGACGACGAUGAUAGGCCGGGUGUGUAAGCGCAGCGAUGCGUUGAGCUAACCGGUACUAAUGAACCGUGAGGCUUA